AGCCUCUGGUAGCCACUAUUCUAUUCUCUACUUCUAGGUGGUGUACCACAGUGGGCUGUUUGUUUCACUGAGAGCUCUAAAAGAUUCGCCAUCACUGUACUAGGAGAUCAACUUUCACAGAUGAGUAAAAAAAUGUAGUAUUUGUCCUUCUGUGUCUGGCUUAUUUCACUUAAUAUAAUGACUUCCUUAUUCAUCCAUUUUACUGCAAAUGACAGAAUUUUAUUCUUUCUAAUGGCUAAGUAAUACUCCACUCCAUUUGGGUAUGUACACCACACUUUACCAUUCACCUAUUGCUGGUCACCAAAGUUGACUCUGCAUCCUGGUUGUUGUGAAUAGAGUUGCAGUAAACAUAGGAGUGUAUGGGCACUCCAGAAGCCUGGCUAAGUAGGGUGCGCCACACCAAAGUUCAGUAGCAAGCUCUAGGACACUAAAAGGGAUGUGAAAGCUGCCUAUAACUGGUUUGUAGAAAGCCUCCUUGGCCGUGCUCACUGCACCCUUCUACCUCCCCAACAACUGAUGAUUCUCCAUAUGCCACCCACAUCCUUUCUGCCCGUCUCCUCCCUUAGGUAAAUUAGGUCUGUGCUACUUAAGCUGUAACGCCACACAAUAAAAGCAGAAGUGAUUCUCUGAAAUCCUCCAUGGAGUCGGUCUUGUCUCCACACCUCACCCUCUCUCCACAGGUCUCAAAGAACCAGAGUACACCAAGAGACUACAGGAGUGCAGUUGUGGGUGAUCUUCUUGCAGCAAGCAGAGGAUAUAGAGGAGCUAUCUUAUCUGCAGAGGAGAAGAAAAAGGUAAAGGAAUCCCUCACUCCAAAUGACAGUAAGGAGAGGUAUACAAUGUGGGAAACAAUGCUCAAUUUUGUGGAAAAGCAC
rnacentral:lncRNA from 1 species